GCAAAUAGUAAUCCUUACUAUAAAAAUGCUAGUAUGUUUACUUGUUUUUAACCAAACUGUUGAGUUUACUUAAAACGGUUAAUUGUUCUUUAAAUGUUACACUACAAAGUUCACAUAACUAAUGCAAUUUAAGUAAACUUACUCAAAAUAUCCAAGACGUUCUAUUGAGCAUGCGCAUUUGAGCACAUUUCCCCUCCCCCACACCUGGACGAAGCACAUGGAGUGACUCGUGAGGAAGAUUCUCAAAGGAAGUUUUAACGUUACCCUCUGCAACUUUAAGGUAAUUAACACAACAUUUUCUAUUUUUCUUGUUUGCUUGUCCUUAUUGUCGACACAUUUUCCACAAUUAUAUGCAUGCAUGCUGUUUUGACGAAUUUAUUACGAUGUUAGGCCUAUGUUACAUUUAACGUUACCGGGUCAAUUGGUGCAAAAAUACAACCAAUUUGAACAAAUCUUUACUUAAAUUAAAUGUAAAGGGGUAAAAAAAACAAAUGUAUAAUUAAACUAAGUAUAUAUUACAAGAUAGUCUGCUCAUGUUUGCAAUAAAGAUUGUUUUUGCAACGUUAUACAUUAAACCAAUCACACGUGCGAUGUCCAAACAGAUGCGUUUUGAAUGCUUCAUCAGUGUUGUAGAGAAACGCGAGGUUUUCAUGAAACAAACGUGCAUAUUUGAUAUAAUAAAGCAAUGAGCCAAAAUAAGCAGUCUUUUACAGUAAUUUAAGAACUGCCAUGCAAGACUAAGUCCUAUAUACUUGAAUGGGGAAAACCGAUAUCUCUAAAAUCGCGUGCUGAUAUCACAAUUAACGUAACACAACACAUUUCAGACCAACAAUUAAAGCCUGACAUUAACUGUACCAUAAUAUUUGUAUAAACGGCUUUUUUCUAGUUUGUUAUACUGAGCAUGCGCAAAGAUUGGCAAUCGCCUCGCUACUCUCUAUAUAAAGCCCCUUCCCAGAGAAGCGUCAGCAUUUAUAGAUUAGCCUUAUUGUGCUUUAUUAUUUCUUUUCUGAAACUUUGAUUUCGUUUACUUGGAAAGGAUUGAUCAAAUAAACGGAGCAAUGGUGCGUAGUUCUUCAUUAACAGUUGUGUGUGUGUGCGCGCGCAACAUUACGGCUGCCAAGCAACAACACAGACGCAGUAAAAGGCAUGCCAAAUCGACGUCACCCUAAAUGCGCCGGUUUGACGCGUUCAUGCAAUGUUUUGAGGGAGACGCUAAUUUUACUCGUUUAUCCUCGGUCGAGGACAACGCGGAAAAAAGAAGAUAAUAGAUGCAAACAGAUAACCUGCUGAUUUCCUUCUGCCAUGCAGUGGAAAUGUAAGUUUUGCACUUUUACAUCUGAAAAGAGAGCACAACUUCUUAAGCACUAUCGCAUAAAUCAUGGAACAUAUUCCCGCAUUGCUCCGAUACCAUGUCUCCAUUCAGACUGUCCAUGUACCUUUAAGUCAUUUAAUGCAUUGAAAGUACAUUUAUCAAAAAUCCAUUCUCAACAAAGUAUUGUGAAAUCUAGUACUGUUCCAGUAUGUUACAAGUGUCAUGUUUGUGACUUUACUGAGCCAUGCAAUGAGUCAGAUUAUUUUGGCCAUUUGCGUUCUCAUUUGAGGAACAAUGAAAAAGUUCAGUGUCCUUUCAAAGACUGUGUUUUUGAAACAAAUGUGUACUCCACAUUUAACGCCCAUAAAAGUAAGGCACAUCACCACAACCGCCCCGGCCCUGAGCAUUUUAAAUUGGGAAUUAUAUCAAGUACUCAGGAUAGUCACACAGAGGAAAAUCCAGCUCAACCUCCAAUUGACAGCAUAGACAGUGAAGAUGAGUGUAAUUUGCCAGAGGAACAAGACAAUUUGGAUGAUACAAGGCAAAAGCUUGAACACAAUUUGGCUUCACUGUUUCUCAAAAUGCAGACAAUCUUGCAUAUUUCAGAUAGCGCAACACAAGAAAUUAUCCAACAGCUUAAUCAAAUUUAUUUGCUGUCUGAAUCGCUGUUAAGUAGCACAAUACAGCAGAUUAUUGUUAAGCACUGUGGUGAGGCAAACAGCUCAGUUGUAAAAGAGCUUGUCAGGGCAGUCACAGACAGCAAUGUGAUGUUACAGUGUACAAAAGAAGGAGGUCCUCUUUCCACAACCAACAGGAGAACAUCAUAUUUCUUGAGAGAAUUUCCAGUUGUCAUGCCUGUUGAGUACAAAAUUGAUGGAGAUGAUCAGUGUUAUGUCUAUAUCCCAGUUAUUGAAAUGUUGCAGAAGUUGCUGAAAAAAACAGAUGUUCUUGACAAGGUGCUAGGUUCAGGUGAGACCUCAGGGAGAUACAGCAGUUACAGGGAUGGCACACAUUAUAGGAAUAAUUCAUUUUUUGCAGAAAAAGAUUACAAAAUAUGUCUUAACCUAUACAUAGAUGAUUUCGAAGUGGCCAAUCCACUCGGAACAUCACGAAAAAAGCACAAAUUGUGUGCUGUCUACUGGGUUCUUGCAAACCUGCCUGCAAAAAAUGUGUCAUCUUUGCAUACCAUUCAGCUAGCUCUUCUUUGUAAAACAAAUGUAGUUAGGCAGCAUGGCUACUCGAAAAUACUUCAUCCACUAAUUGAAGACCUGAAAUGUCUUGAACAGCAAGGAGUAUUUGUUGAGCAGUUGGGAUCAUGUGUAAGGGGAUCUGUUCUUCAUGUCCUGGCAGAUAAUCUGGGUGCCCAUUCACUAGCAGGUUUUCAGGAGAGCUUUAGAGUGAAUCAUCCAUGUAGAUUUUGCCUUGCCACAAGGGAGGACAUUAAUAUGAAGGAAGUUAGGUCAGGCUUGUUUGAAAUGAGAACAAAAGAAAAACACCAACAACAUGUCCAAGAUGUUCUGCAGGACAGUACUUUGGUGGUACAGUAUGGUGUAAAGAGAAGCUGUCCCUUGAGUGACAAUUUGAAACACUUUCAUGCCAUUGGGGGUUUCUCCCCAGAUCUGUUGCAUGAUCUUUUGGAGGGUGUCGUUCCUGUAGAGAUGGCAUUGUGUUUACGGAAAUUAAUUGGCAAACGUUACUUUACCCUUGAGUCCUUAAACAGUGCCAUUAAACAAUUUCCAUACAAGUUUUCAGACAGGACUGAUCAGCCACAGCCUAUUCCACAAUCAUACACAAAAAAAACAACAAUCGGGGGAAAUGGCCAUGAGAAUUUGACCCUAUUGAGACUCCUUCCACUUUUGAUAGGCCAUACCAUAGCAGAGAAUGACCAUACCUGGGAGAUUUUGAUGUUGUUGAAAGAUAUUGUGGAGUUGAGUUUGUCUAUCAAAUUUGCUGAUGACACUGUGGAGUUUUUGAAUUGCAAGAUCUCAGAACACAGAGCUUUGCUUCAAGAAGUUUUCCCAGACUUUGUUCUGCGUCCGAAGCAUCACUACAUAGAGCAUUAUCCUCAGUUAAUCAGAAUGUAUGGACCACUGAGAAAUCUUUGGACAAUGAGAUUCGAGGGCAAACAUAAGUUCUUUAAGAAAGUGAUCCGUGAUGCACAAAACUUCAAAAAUGUCCCCCUAAUGCUGGCUAAGAAGCAUCAAAUGACAAUGGCCUAUCACAUGGAUGCAGGGGUUUUUUUCAAGCCAGGAAUACAAAUGGAUAGGGUCUGUAGUUCACUUGUAACAGGCUUUCCUGACAAUGUGCAGGAAUAUCUGCAUCUAAGGAGCCCUAAUUGCAGUACAGUGCUAGUUUCAUCCAGUGUUACCAUUGAUGGUAUUAAGUAUUGCCCAGACAUGGUGGUUUCAGUUGGAUCUUGUUCAGGUUUGCCAGAAUUCAUGCAGAUUAAACAAAUCUUGGCAAUCAACACUGACAUAAUGUUCCUCUGUAAACCCCAGACUGCGUGGUACAUUGAGCAUUUGCGCUCUUAUGAAUUGUGUAGUUUGCAUUCACUGCAAGUAAUUCUGCCUUCUGAACUAAAUGACCCUUUCCCUUUGGCAGCCUAUAAUAUCCGAGGCCAGUUCUUUGUCACAUUGAAGCAUCACAUCUGCUGCUAAGUGACCUUAUUGUAUUUUAUUUUAUUAUCGUUUGUGUUGUUGACUUAUUUUUCUUUUUAUUUUAGAAUUUCAGCCAGCCAUGUCAAUGAUGUUUCGCGUUAUUGUGCACGACAGUGACAUCCGAAAGGUUGUGAUUUCAGAAAAACCAGCUGAUGUUGAAGCCUUGAAACGUGUGCUUCAAGAGAAGUUGCAAGUCACAUAUUCUUUCAAUGUCCAAUUUGAAGACCCUGACUUUAAUCAUGCAUUAUGCAACCUAAGUGAUAUUAAUGAUUUGCCAGAUAAGGCCACAUUGAAAAUAAUUCCUCUAUCAACUUCUCCCUCCUCAAGUCAGGCCGACACUGUACUUCUCUCAGGUUCGGAUACAUCAGAGCAGUUGUCUGCUGAACGCCAGAGUGAGUGGCCAGAGGAUUUUGAAAUCCCUAAAUUUUCUGUUAAUGUUGAGUAUCGUCUCCGUCAGGGAAACCUUGCUUUUAUGAAAGAUGGUACAAGUCUUGAUGUUGGAAGAGACAUUAAACAUGACAUAUUGGAAUCACUUGCGGGUGCCAUGUACACUUUUAAGGCAUAUCCAUCAGAUGAAAACUUUGCUCAAGUUGCUACCGCUCUUAUCAGAGCACACCCCUGCUUGACUGAACCGGGUUCUUCAACAGGAUCAGCUGGAUGGAAAAACAGCCUGAAAUUUAAAAUGGCCAACUACAGAACAAAACUGCGUAAAUGUGGCUGUAGUGAUGUUGCUGUUGAGGGAAAGAGAGGUGCAGAAGCAGGCAGUGCUUUUAGGAGAAGCAUUAAAAAACCUAGACGAUUUGAAGUAAAUUUUUUGCCAAAUUUUCCUAACGGGGAGAAUGAAGACAGUCAAGAAUGCCUGAGAAAAGAACUUGUAGAAGAAAUGAAAAAGAAGAGUCGAGACAUGAGCCUCAUUGGCCAAAAGAUGGACAGUACAUUUGCCCUGAGACGGAAGGAAAUCAUUCACUCUGAACCUCCUGUUUCUGAGAUCUUGGAAAAAUGGCCAGCACUUUUCACAGAAAGCCAGAUCUUUGCAGAAUUCAAUCGUAUAUCUGGCAAGAAUCUGCGAUCUGAAUUCUAUGCAGCACUGGACAAACACUCUGCACGUUUCCUUGAAAUUUUCCGGAAGAAAGGGGGAACUCAAGGACGAACACUUGAUGAAAUUUUACGUCAGGUUGAUUUAAAGUCAUCUGAUGUAUCUUGUGUGCGUACAGCUGUACUUUAUGGACUUCCAGUUCUCCUGGGGGAUGACUCGGAUGAGUUUUUCAAGACGUGCUUUGAUUCUGAUGUAGAUGCAGACUUCAGCCAAAUUGAUGUUGGCCUGCUUACAGUUCUACCUGAAGACAUGCCUGCCAGAACUCCACAUGCACUCAACGUUAACGCAAUGAGGGAAAUCAUUCUGGAGGGAAAAUUUGUCAUGGACGAUGUCCGAAGCUUGCCACAUGCUGUAUGUCUCCUUUUUGCUUUAAUCUAUGCUCUAAAUUUAGACUACCCAAAGACAAUGAGGAAUACAUUUGAAUUUAUUCAGAGGGUAUUUCUGUCUUUAGGAGGUAAGAACCUGAAACCCAAACUCCAAACUCUAAAAAAUCAGCUUUUAACCUAAUGUCUUUUCUUUUGGCCUUGGGUGCCUAUGCUAACCGUUAAAGGUAUAAUUCACCAAAAAAUUCUAUCAUCAUUUACUCACUUUCAUGUUACAAACCUGCCUAAAUUGAAGAUAUUUUGAGAAAUGUUUGCAACCAAACUGUUCAUGGACCUUAUUGACUUCCAUAGUAGGAUAAAAGAAUACUAUGGAAGUAAACAGGGUCCAUGAAUGGUUUAGUUACAAUCACUUCUCAAAAUAUCUUCAUUUGUGUUCAUCAAAAAGAAAUGUAGGCGGUUUGUAACGACAUGAAAGUAAGUAAAUGAUGACAGAAUUUUCAAUUUUUUGGGUGAAUAUUACUUUAACUGGUUGAUGCAAAAAUUAAGAAAAUGUUAACCCUUUAAAUGUGUUUAGGCAUGUUUAGUAAUGGCACUUUUUUCACAUGUGCCUUGACUUCACUUGUUAAAAAGGGAUCAGUUAUGUGUUUUUUAAGUAACUGUCCCUUUCCUUUCAUGUUUUGUACUUGGACUAAGUGUGCCUUGGUUUUACCUCUUGUAACAAGGGGAAGAGUUUUUUCUUUAAGUAACACCCUUUCCUAAGUCAGUUGUCUGUAUUUCAGGCAUGUUUUGUAAUUGCACUAAGUGUACAUUGGUUUCGCCCUCUUGUAACAAGGGGAUCAGUUAUGGUUUUUGUUGUUGUUUAUAAGUAGCAGACCCUUUCCAAAGUUAGCUCUCAUGUAUUUUAGACAUGUUUUGUAUUGCACUUAGUGUGCCUUGGUUUUACUUUUGCUUUUGAAAGGGUCUGUUACUCAAAAAACAUUAGACAUGUUUUGUAUUGCAUUAAGGUGCCUCGGUUUCACCAUUUGUAACAAUCAAGUAUUUUAAGUAACAGACCCUUUCCAAAGCCAGUCUGUAUUUAAGGAAUAUUUGUAAUUACACAAAAUUCCAAAUUGUUGUUUACAAAGCCAAAUUUCUGCAGAUACAGGCCUAUUUUGUUCUCUAAAGUGCCUUUUCUUACAGAAAAGCUUUUUAGGAUUUUGUUGUGAAUGACAGAAAAAGGCAAGUUAGUCAGAAAGACUGAUACUGUUUGAACAGAAGUGUCCAUGUGUUCACUGCAUUAUGUUUUAAAAAGCUUUCUAGCUGUUUAUUACAAAAAUAAACAGUUCAGAAUUCCAUAUGUGUGUUGAGUGUUUUCUCUAUCAGUUGUACUUAAAAAAAUAUGUUCAUUUUACUUAAAAAAACUUUGGAAACCGAUUGCACAUAGUUUUUUAAGUUGACAUAGCUUAAAAUUGUUAAUUAAAUCCAUGUCCAGAGCACUAGUAUUUAGAAUGUUAGCAGUACUAAAUAAAACCUUGUUAGUUUAAUUGAAUUAAUACGGUAAUCUUAAUAGAAAUUCUUAAGUAUCAUUAGUAACCAUUGAUAAGUAUAUUAACUUAAAAUUACAUAUUAAACUAAAUUGAUAUGUAUUAGUAAAUUUACUCAGAAAAUGUUUGUUAUACUUACUAAUAGCUAAUUACUAAGUUAACCUUAAGUUUGCUUUUAAGUUUGCUUUGGAAAAAUGAGGCAAUCGGUUUCCUUAGUUUUUUUAAGUAAACUGAACU